AAGCGGGUUGGCGUAUAUCACCGCAUCAAUCCGAUCCUAUUUGUUUAGGGAAUGGAUUUAAAAUUUUUUCCCCAAAAUAUUGAAGCUCAAAAUUCUGGACGAGUAUUGCGCUCCUUCAGUUUCUUCACACAGCUGGACGAGUAGGUACUGCCAGACGAACCCUAGCUUUCUGCCCUUUCUUGCAAGUAUAGCAUCGUUCUUCUUCAGUUUAAUUGGAGAUUCCAGUUUCUUCCUUAACACAUCUGGGUCUUCUUCCCCAAUCCCACGACUGGUGACUCUUGCUGCUGGUCGUCAUCUGCUUUUUCUGCUUCCAAUUCGAGCUCUCCAGAUAUGUCGAAGAAAUGGCUACGGUUAUGUGUUAUUCAGAGUGUCUGCGGCCAGCCCAAAAACCGUCACUCAACAUGCACGUGAAAUGGAUGGCACGCCCAUCACAGCUAAGGGCGCACAGACCAUAAUUGCAGGGAUGGUUUAGCAUGCGGAGAGGGUAUUAGUACGAAGGGGAGAAGGAGGCCUUCAUGGUGUUAGGAAACAGGGGAGAUGGCUACUGAAUGUAGAUGCUGAUCAUUAAAUGGAAAGGAUAUGGUAAUCUAUUUUUCUUUAGUCUUUCUUUGCACCGCCACCUAUGGAUAUAUAUGAAAAAUGAAUAAAAUGAUAAUUUUGUCA